rnacentral:rRNA from 1 species
UACGGAGGGGGCUAGCGUUGUUCGGAAUUACUGGGCGUAAAGCGCACGUAGGCGGCGAUUUAAGUCAGAGGUGAAAGCCCGGGGCUCAACCCCGGAAUAGCCUUUGAGACUGGAUUGCUAGAAUCUUGGAGAGGCGAGUGGAAUUCCGAGUGUAGAGGUGAAAUUCGUAGAUAUUCGGAAGAACACCAGUGGCGAAGGCGGCUCGCUGGGACAAGUAUUGACGCUGAGGUG